rnacentral:rRNA from 1 species
CCUACGGGAGGCAGCAGUGGGGAAUAUUGCACAAUGGGGGAAACCCUGAUGCAGCAACGCCGCGUGAGUGAAGAAGUCAUUCGUGAUGUAAAGCUCUAUCAGCAGGGAAGAAAAUGACGGUACCUGAGUAAGAAGCCCCGGCUAACUACGUGCCAGCAGCCGCGGUAAUACGGAGGAUGCGAGCGUUAUCCGGAUUUAUUGGGUUUAAAGGGUGCGUAGGCGGUCCGGAAAGUCAGCGGUAAAAGCCCGGGGCUCAACCCCGGCGAGCCGUUGAAACUGUCGGACUAGAGACGGCGAGAAGUACG